rnacentral:rRNA from 1 species
CCCCGCACAAGCAGCGGAGUCGUGUGGUUUAAUUCGAUGCAACGCGAAGAACCUUACCAAGGCUUGACAUACACCGGUAACGCCAGAGAUGGUGCCCCUUUGUGGUCGGUGUACAGGUGGUGCAUGGUUGUCGUCAGCUCGUGUCGUGAGAUGUUGGGUUAAGUCCCGCAACGAGCGCAACCCUUAUCCCCAGUUGCCAUCAGGUAAAGCUGGGAACUCUGGGGAGACUGCCGGUGAUAAACCGGAGGAAGGCGGGGAUGACGUCAAGUCCUCAUGGCCCUUACAUCCCGGGCUACACACGUGCUACAAUGGCAGGUACAGAGGGCUGCGAAGCCGCGAGGUGGAGCGAAUCCCAGAAAACCUGUCUCAGUCCGGAUUGAAGUCUGCAACUCGACUUCAUGAAGGCGGAAUCGCUAGUAACCGCGAAUCAGCAGGUCGCGGUGAAUACGUUCCCGGGCCUU